AGUAAUGACUUUAGUGUGUUCCAUUAUGAAUGCAAAAUAUAUUGCCAUAAAGAAGCUUACAACAAUAUUGUUUGGAUGGGAAAGUUCAUUUAUGAACUCUCUAUUCGGUUCCAACCAGAAAGUGUAUGACACUAAUGGGGCGAUAGCUCAAGCCAGGGAAUCAAGGUCUCAUCAAGAUCCGAACUCAUAUGAGAGACCGAACCACAUGAUUGAGAAUCAUGUAUAAUGGUGACGUCGUUAUUCUCAAGGUUGCUUCUAUGGAUAACAUAUAGAUAACCAUUGCCUAGGCCUACUAUUCAGCCAUUUAUGAAAUGACUACAGAAGAGGUAUCAUCACUGAUGACUAAGCUG
rnacentral:lncRNA from 1 species